rnacentral:sRNA from 1 species
GCUGGGUGCGGUGGUGCAUGCCUAUAAUCCUGGUGGCUGGGAAGCUGAGGCAGGAGGAUUGUGAGUUGGAAGUCAGCCUCAGAAAAAGUGAGGUGCUAAGUAACUCAGUGAGACUCUGUCUCUA